rfam:Candidatus Omnitrophica bacterium 4484_213 ex4484_213_scaffold_6048, whole genome shotgun sequence.
GAAAGCAGACAAAUGGUCGCUUCAGCCUUAGGCUGAGGAGGAAAGUCCGGACUCCGAUUGCCAGUAUAAUCUCCUAACAGGAGAUCACCCAGCACUAAUUUCCUGAGAAAAUUAGUGCUGGGGAGGAUAAGAGCCACAGAGACGAGCAAUCCCCCAAAGCUUUAGCGUAGGGGGAGGAGGUGAAACGGGGCAAUCUCUAUACGGAGAAAGAUUAAAUAGGAGAUGAAGAAGUGGCAAUCUUCGUCCCGAAGUUUCGGGAUAAAUCUCGGGUAAAUCGUUUAAUUCCGAUAGCAAUAUCGAAAUAAGAGAAAUGACCAUUUAGAUACAGAAUCCGGCUUAUUAUCUGCUUUCCAAA